rnacentral:rRNA from 1 species
CCUACGGGUGGCUGCAGUAAGGAAUAUUGGUCAAUGGAGGAAACUCUGAACCAGCCAUCCCGCGUGAAGGAUGAAGGGGCUCUGCCUUGUAAACUUCUUUUGAAUGGGACGAAAAAAGGGGAUUUAUCCUCGACUGACGGUACCAUUAGAAUAAGCACCGGCUAACUCCGUGCCAGCAGCCGCGGUAAUACGGAGGGUGCAAGCGUUAUCCGGAAUCACUGGGUUUAAAGGGUGCGUAGGCGGCUAAAUAAGUCAGUGGUGAAAGGCCGUGGCUUAACCAUGGGAUUGCCAUUGAUACUGUAUAGCUUGAAUGAGGAUGAGGUUGGCGGAAUGUGGCAUGUAGCGGUGAAAUGCUUAGAUAUGCCAUGGAACAUCGAUUGCGAAGGCAGCUGACUGGACCUGAAUUGACGCUGAGGCACGAAAGCGUGGGUAGCGAACAGGAUUAGAUACCCCAGUAGUC